CUGAAAGAUUCAGAACCCCUCUCUCACUCCCACUCACCAAAAAUCAAAAGCCCCUUUCAACUAAUAGAUUUGAAUGUAGACCUCUCUCAGCUACUUGUCGCAAAAGUCACAGGCAGAGCACCAAACAAGUUCUUUAAGGAAAGAGGGGGAUUUUCCUUGGAAAAUGCAUAGUGUACCCUACUGUGAAGCUUAAUAUGGUGUUGUGGGCUGCAGCAUGGUUCGAUCCCAAGCCAAUUGAUUGUUGCUUCACUAACGUCAAUCUAGUGUCUAGGGACAAGAACAUGUGGAGGAAGGGAUGCCAACUAUUUGAAGAAAUUCCCAAAGCUCAUGUUGCACAGGCAUGCACCUCUUAUGUAUUUAUUGCAACUUCUUUCCAUUAAUAUUUCAAAUAUAUAUUAGAGUAGUUAUCAUAGGUUUUGAUUUUGUUGUUGCAUUGAAUUGAAUUGCAAGUGGGUUUUGUUGGGCAGGUGCAUGCUUUAUAUGCACAACACUAGCAAGCUUAAAACAUGCAUAUAUGGUUAUACAGCCACCACCUUUAGUGAUGAGUUGGAGAACAUAACGAUUAUUUUAUGGACGUGGUUAUUUAUCACCUUUCAGCAUAUAAGGUAUUUUUAUUUUAUUUUAUUUUAUUUAAAGUGAUUCAUUUCAUUUCUUCUUCUUUUUUCUUCUUUUCUUCUUUUUUCUUUUUGGAAGGAUUAAAGUGAUUCAUUUCUG